rnacentral:rRNA from 1 species
UGACGGCGUACCUUUUGUAUAAUGGGUCAACGACUUAGUGUGACAAGCGAGCUUAAGCCGGUAGGUGUAGGCGUAGCGAAAGCGAGUCUGAAUAGGGCGUCUAGUUUGUUGCAUUAGACCCGAAACCGAGUGAUCUAGCCAUGAGCAGGUUGAAGGUUGGGUAACACCAAUUGGAGGACCGAACCCGUAUCUGUUGCAAUAGAUUGGGAUGACUUGUGGCUAGGGGUGAAAGGCCAAUCAAACUCGGAGAUAGCUGGUUCUCCGCGAAAUCUAUUUAGGUAGAGCAUUAACUGAAUACCCUCGGAGGUAGAGCACUGGAUAGGCUAUGGGGGCUUACCGCCUUACUGCUCCUAACCAAACUCCGAAUACCGAGGAGUACUAGUUGGCAGACACACAGUGGGUGCUAACGUCCAUUGUGGAGAGGGCAACAACCCUGACCUCCAUCUAAGGUCCCGAAGUCAUGGCUAAGUGGGAAAGGAUGUGAAGAUCCCAAAACAACCAGGAUGUUGGCUUAGAAGCAGCCAUCAUUUAAAGAAAGCGUAACAGCUCACUGGUCUAGAUAAGGAUUUUUGCGCCGAAAAUGUAACGGGGCUAAAGCCAUGCACCGAAGAUGAGGAUUUGUUUAUUUUUAAACGAGUGGUAGCGGAGCGUUCCGUAAGCUGAUGAAGGAGGACUUGUGAGA